rnacentral:rRNA from 1 species
CCCUUAGAUGUUCUGGGCCGCACGCGCGCUACACUGAUGCAUUCAACGAGUCUAAAACCUGCUCUGAUAGGGGUGGGUAAUCUUUUGAAUGUGCAUCGUGAUUGGGAUAGAUGAUUGCAAUUUUUCAUCUUCAACGAGGAAUGCCUAGUAAACGCAAGUCAUCAGGCUGUGCUGAUUACGUCCCUGCCCUUUGUACACACCGCCCGUCGCUCCUACCGAUUUCGAGUGGUCCGGUGAACCAUCUGGAUUGGAUCGCAAGAUUCGAGAAGUUUAGUAAACCUUAUCACUUAGAGGAAGGAGAAGUCGUAACA